AACGCACAUUGCGCCCCGUGGUAUUCCGCGGGGCAUGCCUGUUCGAGCGUCAUUUCACCACUCAAGCCUCGCUUGGUAUUGGGCGCCCGCGGCCUUGCCCGCGCGCCUCGAAAUCUCCGGCUGAGCCGUCUGUCUCCCUGCGUUGUGACUUUAUUGUUUCGCUGCGGAGCACGGGCGACUUUGGCCGUUAAACCCCAUCAAAGGUUGACCUCGGAUCAGGUAGGGAUACCCGCUGAACUUAA
rnacentral:misc_RNA from 1 species